rnacentral:rRNA from 1 species
GCAGCAGCCGCGGUAAUACGUAGGGUGCGAGCGUUAAUCGGAAUUACUGGGCGUAAAGCGUGCGCAGGCGGUUCGUUAAGUCAGAUGUGAAAGCCCCGGGCUCAACCUGGGAACUGCAUUUGAAACUGGCGGGCUUGAGUGUGGCAGAGGGGGGUGGAAUUCCGCGUGUAGCAGUGAAAUGCGUAGAGAUGCGGAGGAACACCGAUGGCGAAGGCAGCCCCCUGGGCCAACACUGACGCUCAGGCACGAAAGCGUGGGGAGCAAACAGGAUUAGAUACCCUGGUAGUCCACGCCCUAAACGAUGCUCACUAGGUGUUGGGGAAGCGAUUCCUUGGUACCGUAGCUAACGCGUGAAGUGAGCCGCCUGGGGAGUACGGCCGCAAGGUUAAAACUUAAAGGAAUUGGCGGGGGAU